rnacentral:rRNA from 1 species
GGUUAAGCGACUAAGCGUACACGGUGGAUGCCCUGGCAGUCAGAGGCGAUGAAGGACGUGCUAAUCUGCGAUAAGCGUCGGUAAGGUGAUAUGAACCGUUAUAACCGGCGAUUUCCGAAUGGGGAAACCCAGUGUGUUUCGACACACUAUCAUUAACUGAAUCCAUAGGUUAAUGAGGCGAACCGGGGGAACUGAAACAUCUAAGUACCCCGAGGAAAAGAAAUCAACCGAGAUUCCCCCAGUAGCGGCGAGCGAACGGGGAGCAGCCCAGAGCCUGAAUCAGUGUGUGUGUUAGUGGAAGCGUCUGGAAAGGCGCGCGAUACAGGGUGACAGCCCCGUACACAAAAAUGCACAUGCUGUGAGCUCGAUGAGUAGGGCGGGACACGUGGUAUCCUGUCUGAAUAUGGGGGGACCAUCCUCCAAGGCUAAAUACUCCUGACUGACCGAUAGUGAACCAGUACCGUGAGGGAAAGGCGAAAAGAACCCCGGCGAGGGGAGUGAAAAAGAACCUGAAACCGUGUACGUACAAGCAGUGGGAGCACGCUUAGGCGUGUGACUGCGUACCUUUUGUAUAAUGGGUCAGCGACUUAUAUUCUGUAGCAAGGUUAACCGAAUAGGGGAGCCGAAGGGAAACCGAGUCUUAACUGGGCGUUAAGUUGCAGGGUAUAGACCCGAAACCCGGUGAUCUAGCCAUGGGCAGGUUGAAGGUUGGGUAACACUAACUGGAGGACCGAACCGACUAAUGUUGAAAAAUUAGCGGAUGACUUGUGGCUGGGGGUGAAAGGCCAAUCAAACCGGGAGAUAGCUGGUUCUCCCCGAAAGCUAUUUAGGUAGCGCCUCGUGAAUUCAUCUCCGGGGGUAGAGCACUGUUUCGGCAAGGGGGUCAUCCCGACUUACCAACCCGAUGCAAACUGCGAAUACCGGAGAAUGUUAUCACGGGAGACACACGGCGGGUGCUAACGUCCGUCGUGAAGAGGGAAACAACCCAGACCGCCAGCUAAGGUCCCAAAGUCAUGGUUAAGUGGGAAACGAUGUGGGAAGGCCCAGACAGCCAGGAUGUUGGCUUAGAAGCAGCCAUCAUUUAAAGAAAGCGUAAUAGCUCACUGGUCGAGUCGGCCUGCGCGGAAGAUGUAACGGGGCUAAACCAUGCACCGAAGCUGCGGCAGCGACGCUUAUGCGUUGUUGGGUAGGGGAGCGUUCUGUAAGCCUGCGAAGGUGUGCUGUGAGGCAUGCUGGAGGUAUCAGAAGUGCGAAUGCUGACAUAAGUAACGAUAAAGCGGGUGAAAAGCCCGCUCGCCGGAAGACCAAGGGUUCCUGUCCAACGUUAAUCGGGGCAGGGUGAGUCGACCCCUAAGGCGAGGCCGAAAGGCGUAGUCGAUGGGAAACAGGUUAAUAUUCCUGUACUUGGUGUUACUGCGAAGGGGGGACGGAGAAGGCUAUGUUGGCCGGGCGACGGUUGUCCCGGUUUAAGCGUGUAGGCUGGUUUUCCAGGCAAAUCCGGAAAAUCAAGGCUGAGGCGUGAUGACGAGGUACUACGGUGCUGAAGCAACAAAUGCCCUGCUUCCAGGAAAAGCCUCUAAGCAUCAGGUAACAUCAAAUCGUACCCCAAACCGACACAGGUGGUCAGGUAGAGAAUACCAAGGCGCUUGAGAGAACUCGGGUGAAGGAACUAGGCAAAAUGGUGCCGUAACUUCGGGAGAAGGCACGCUGAUAUGUAGGUGAAGUCCCUCGCGGAUGGAGCUGAAAUCAGUCGAAGAUACCAGCUGGCUGCAACUGUUUAUUAAAAACACAGCACUGUGCAAACACGAAAGUGGACGUAUACGGUGUGACGCCUGCCCGGUGCCGGAAGGUUAAUUGAUGGGGUUAGCGGUAACGCGAAGCUCUUGAUCGAAGCCCCGGUAAACGGCGGCCGUAACUAUAACGGUCCUAAGGUAGCGAAAUUCCUUGUCGGGUAAGUUCCGACCUGCACGAAUGGCGUAAUGAUGGCCAGGCUGUCUCCACCCGAGACUCAGUGAAAUUGAACUCGCUGUGAAGAUGCAGUGUACCCGCGGCAAGACGGAAAGACCCCGUGAACCUUUACUAUAGCUUGACACUGAACAUUGAGCCUUGAUGUGUAGGAUAGGUGGGAGGCUUUGAAGUGUGGACGCCAGUCUGCAUGGAGCCGACCUUGAAAUACCACCCUUUAAUGUUUGAUGUUCUAACGUUGACCCGUAAUCCGGGUUGCGGACAGUGUCUGGUGGGUAGUUUGACUGGGGCGGUCUCCUCCUAAAGAGUAACGGAGGAGCACGAAGGUUGGCUAAUCCUGGUCGGACAUCAGGAGGUUAGUGCAAUGGCAUAAGCCAGCUUGACUGCGAGCGUGACGGCGCGAGCAGGUGCGAAAGCAGGUCAUAGUGAUCCGGUGGUUCUGAAUGGAAGGGCCAUCGCUCAACGGAUAAAAGGUACUCCGGGGAUAACAGGCUGAUACCGCCCAAGAGUUCAUAUCGACGGCGGUGUUUGGCACCUCGAUGUCGGCUCAUCACAUCCUGGGGCUGAAGUAGGUCCCAAGGGUAUGGCUGUUCGCCAUUUAAAGUGGUACGCGAGCUGGGUUUAGAACGUCGUGAGACAGUUCGGUCCCUAUCUGCCGUGGGCGCUGGAGAACUGAGGGGGGCUGCUCCUAGUACGAGAGGACCGGAGUGGACGCAUCACUGGUGUUCGGGUUGUCAUGCCAAUGGCACUGCCCGGUAGCUAAAUGCGGAAGAGAUAAGUGCUGAAAGCAUCUAAGCACGAAACUUGCCCCGAGAUGAGUUCUCCCUGACCCUUUAAGGGUCCUGAAGGAACGUUGAAGACGACGACGUUGAUAGGCCGGGUGUGUAAGCGCAGCGAUGCGUUGAGCUAACCGGUACUAAUGAACCGUGAGGCUUAACCUU